rnacentral:lncRNA from 1 species
UUUAUAAAGAUGCUAUGAAAUAUGUAUUUUCUUUCUCGAACUAGCCCAAAGUUGAACAUCUAUUUUUGUCUGUAUAGAGCACCCUUGGAUUAAAGGACAAGCACCUGAUAAGCCAAUUGAUAGUGCUGUGCUCUCAAGAAUGAAGCAGUUCAGAGCAAUGAAUAAGCUCAAGAAACUUGCACUAAAGGUAAAUUAUUAUUUCAUGCUUUCGUUUUAUAUCAAUUAAAUUGGAACAUUGAAAUUAUGAAUGUUUGUUCAAGUUUUGUUAUGUUUGUCAAGCCAGAAAUAUGAUACUUUUAAGUGAUGAUAAACCUUUAGUAGAGCAACUAUCUAUUGGACCUGCUGAUCAUGUCUGAUAAUUCUGUACUUCUUGAAUUUUUCUGCCGACUUCCUUCCAUUGGAAAAUACGAGACUAUCAAUUUUCUUCAAUAUGUAGCUUUAAUUGAUCUAGAUGGAUUAAAAUCAAAACCUACUCAAUAAGCACAUAAACAUGCAUUGUUUCUUAAUUGUCACAGUACUAGAAUUGGUACAUGAAACAUGUAUAAAGGAUAAAAUUUGGAACCCACUUUCAGUUUAUAGAAAUCUCUUUGCUUCAAUAAAAAUAUCUUGGUAUAAUUUGGCGUAAUUAUUAGGUAAGACUGGAAAACAUAUUCUAUAUAAUUAAUCUAGGGGCCAAAAUGUGGUGUUCGUAAAUUGGUUUUCUGUGAUAAACGUAGGUCCCACGCGGAAUAUUAAAACAUUUUCCAUUUUGAGGAAUAAAUUAACAUUAUUAUGAAACAACCUCAAUUAGAAAGUAAAGGUUAUUUGACUUCACAUGGAAAGAGCACUAUAGAGUAUUUAUUACGGUAAACUCAAAGAGUACUUUUCCUCUGGUCAUGAAUCUUAAUCAUUUUUGCAAACAAGUCAUAUGUGCAAUAUUGCUCAACUUAGAUGUAGAUGUUCUUUUCCUCUUACUAUGUACUGUUGCAUUUGGAAACUCCUGUAGGUCAUUGCACAAAAUUUAUCUGAAGAAGAAAUUAAAGGUCUCAAAGCAAUGUUCACAAAUAUGGACACAGACAAGAGUGGCGCAAUCACAUAUGAAGAAUUGAAAACUGGACUGGCUCGCCUCGGGUCAAAACUGUCAGAAACUGAAGUAAAACAACUCAUGGAAGCUGUAAGUUUCAUUCAGCUAUGUGAACACAAUUUGUUUAACCUUUAUUUGCCAUGACUGCUUCCUUGGAUUUAAACAUUUAUUCUAUAUAUCUCAGGCAGAUGUGGAUGGUAAUGGGACAAUUGAUUACCUUGAAUUUAUAACUGCCACGAUGCAUAGACACAAGCUCGAAAGAGACGAGCAUCUCUAUAAAGCAUUUCAGUAUUUUGACAAGGAUAACAGUGGGUAAGUAAGGGUCUAACUGUUGACAGUGCAUUUAUCUUGUCCACAUUUAUGGAUGUUUGGUAAGGUGGAUUAAACAACAUUAGAUAGUUUGAUGAAGAAAAAGGAGUCAAAAAAAUAUCUAUGGUACUUUCUGUUCUAUCUACACUCUGUACUUGAGGAUCAAGUUUUAGAAACCAUAUCAUUUUCACCAAGAUUGCAAUGGGAGUAAUGCAGAGAAUUCUGCUUGUUUCUGUUUACAAUAUUGAUCUUAUUAUAUAGUGAAAUUAUUGCUACCUUGUGGGAUUUUUCUUUCUUCCGUCAAAUUAUCCCAGACAUUUGACACCACCUGAUUUCCUAUUCAAUUUUGCUACACGUACAUUCUGGUUGAUACGUGGCCCAAAAUUUUACCAUUGAUAUGUUCGACACUUGAAACAAUCAAUGGCCUCGAUUUUGACACCUAUAGAAAUGUAAUCUAAGAUGUACACAAAGAAUUUACAAGUAGAUUUAUUCUUUCCUUAUUAUAUCGUUUCAGCUUCAUUACGAGAGAUGAACUGGAAAAUGCUAUGAAGGAGUACGGCAUGGGUGAUGAGGCCACAAUCAGGGAAAUAAUUUCAGAAGUCGAUACAGAUAAUGUAAGUAUGCCUGAUUCAAGAAAUGAGAUACACACUGUCUUCCCGAUUUAGAUAUAGACCAGCCUUAUAUUACUGCAUUUUAUAGGAUGGAAGGAUCAACUACGAGGAGUUCUGUGAGAUGAUGAGAAGCGGAACAACACAACAGGCAAAGCUCUUCUAGUGUCAAGGCAAUAAUUUUUUGAGCAGCAUGUUGUUGGGACUUAUGAGAGAGUUCUGCAAGGAUGAGGAGAUGCUGGGGACGAGGUGCAAGAUGACAUGAUCUUGAUUUCUUGUCGGAUACUCUACUGUUUUCAUGGAAAUCGAGGGAGUACGGUUAAGAGUUUGCGAGCUUUUUUUGUUCAGAUAGCUGUUAAAUGGUGUUGUACUCGUGCAUACUCUGUUCCAUUAUUAAUUUGUGUUUAUCCAUAAUGUAUUAGAUAUCCAUCUAAUUUUAUAUGUACAAUGGUGUUUUAUUCUUGCAAGUUGAUUCGUAUGUGAAUGAUUAAAGAAUUGGAUUUACCUAAAUAUGCCAACCGUUCUCCCUGGAUUUUCAGGCUG